AUAUAAACUGCAUGAUGAAUUUUCUAAUUUGCUUCAAGUUCCUUUCUAAUUUCAAUUAUAAAUUCUUUCCACUAUUUCCAUAACUUAGUUUGUCGUUCCAAGAUUGAGAGCCCGAUAAUUCUCCAUGUAGCUUCUAAUUCUGGGCAGGUUUUAAACUAAGCUCUAGAGAGACUUCUCCCUACUUCGGUCUGGUAGCUGGCUUGGAUGAGAGUGAAAGAGUUUGAAAGUAAAUGGGUAACUUGAGAAUACAGAAUAUUGGCAGUUCUUCUUUUUUGGCCAGGUCUUUCAUUAUUCUGAUUUGGUUCCCUCUUCCUAUGUAUGACCCAUAAAAUUUCUUUAUUUAGGACUUGCUUGCCAUCUAUUGAACUUCUCCGCCCCAAAAUGGGUUAGUGUUUGUCAUAACUUUUGGAAAAUAUAGAAUAUCUGAAAUAAUUGCUCUGCCAGACUUUGUGAACUAAUAGUGAGUUUUAGUUUGUAAUCUUCAUCCUUGUUUUUCCAAAAGAGUUAGAUUAAAAGCCUUUAAAUCCUUCGAAUUCAAUCCUCCAAGAAUUUUUUAUCUGCAAGCUAUAUUCCAAACAAUCCAUUGCAACUUUUCCUCUAUUCUUUUUUGUCCCUACUAAAACCUUAGAACAAUGCUCUGUACUUCAUUAAUUAAAGUAUAAAAAAAUUUAAAACAACUCAAAGUA